rnacentral:lncRNA from 1 species
UUUUUAUUCUAUUUUGUUAGGUUGUGUUUUGUUUAAAUAUUCACUCCACAAAUUUUGUAUGUUAUUUCAGCAUUUGAGGAAACCGUCUUCCUGAACUCCACAAAUUUUGUAUGUUAUUUCAGCACUUGAGGAAACCGUCUCCCUGAACUCCACUGCAUCUCAGAUCACAGCUACUAGCUGCACAAACAUAUGGCUUGUCUGCAGUAUGAUCAGGACAUGACAACUCAGAUGUUAGUCUCUUGAGGUGGGUCUUGCCACACCCUUCACAGUCAUAAACAAAUGGUUUCUUCCCCAUGUGAUUACAGGUGCACAUUAAGCUUCCAGGCCUUUUUGUAAGUGGUGCCACUCUGGGGA